rnacentral:sRNA from 1 species
ACUGCUGCUAAUCUAUCGCCGCUGCUAAGCUAUCCCUCGCUGCUAAGCUAUCCCUCGCUGCUAAGCUAUCCCUCGCUGCUAAGCUAUCCCUCGCUGCUAAGCUAUCCCUCGCUGCUAAUCUAUCGCCGCUGCUAAGCUAUCCCUCGCUGCUAAGCUAUCCCUCGCUGCUAAUCUAUCGCCGCUGCUAAGCUAUCCCUCACUGCUAAGUUAUCCCUCGCUGCUAAGCUAUCCCUCGCUGCUAAGCUAUCCCUCGCUGCUAAGCUAUCCCUCGCUGCUAAGCUAUCCCUCGCUGCUAAGCUAUCCCUCGCUGCUAAGCUAUCCCUCGCUGCCAAGCUAUCCCUCACUGCUAAGCUAUCCCUCGCUGCUAAGCUAUCGCCGCUGCCAACCUAUCUAUUGCUGCAAGCUAUCCCUCGUUGCUAAGCUAUCCCUCACUGCUAAGCUAUCCCUCACUGCUAAGCUAUCCCUCGCUGCUAAUCUAUCGCUGCUAAUCUAUCGCUGCCAAUCUAUCGCUGCCAACCUAUCUACUGCAGUGAAUCUAUCUAUCACUAUCAUUACUAGUUCAAAAUAGAACUAGAGCAUAAAUACACUAAACUUCUUUUGAUAGGUAAUGAUUUUUGGUAACACUCAUAGCAUUAUAUCAUCUAUAUAGGGUAAAUCAUGGUCCCAUUUGGUCCCAUUUUACAAAAUGGGAUCAAAUGGGAUCAGAAUCAGUAAUUUAUAAGAAGAACAUGACCUGGGACUAGAUUUGUAAUAUAAACAGUGUAAAGUGACUAAUUUAAUAAACACUAUAUGAGACCAGGACUAAGAAAUUUGAUAAUGGGAC